GAGAGAGAGAGAGAGAGAGAGCCUCGAUAGAUCGCCAGUACCUCUGAUGAAAGUUAAAUCCUCAUUUCUGCUCCAACCUCUUCUGCUUCUCGACACCGGUAACCCUUUCGCAGUCUCUUGGCCACCAACAUAUUUUUCACAUCAACAAGAAAGGAUAUACCAUGCUAUAGCCAUAGCAAACUCUAGUUUCACCGCAGGCUCCUCACUGGCAUCCGAUGAACGUGGAAUGGUGAAACUGUAGGACACGAUGACAACGUCCGCUUUGGCUUCACUUUAAUUGCAGUACACCGAGGAGAGAAUGGGUAACUAUGACAGUGAUAAUGUUGAUCCAAGAUACACCAAUGCUCAUCAUUUCCUUGUGUUAAUUUCCAUAACCCUACAAAGAUUCUGCAAUUUAGGGGUUGGAUUUUGGAGAGAUCUGAUGUCCGGAGGAACUUUCAUUUUACAGAUAUAUAGAGUUGAGAUGUGCGUACGUAUACAUGGCAAUGAGUUUGGGAGAAACCUCAAACGAGAGGACUCUUUUCGCUUUACCACGCCAUGACCGCAGGGGAACAACCUACUUUCCCAUACGUUGCUGGAGAAGAUACUGUGUUGUGAGCCACUACACAUAUAUAGGACAACGAGGGUUCCCAUGAUCAUGAGGAGUCACGUACUAUUCUACAGAAGAGCAGUAUGGCCUGCAGGGAUUGAUAGGAUCCAAGCUUUGUGUCUUCGGAUGAUAUAUAGUACCCGAACUCAGUCCCAUAUGCAUACAUACCAUGCUAACUUUCUCCUCCGCACAAGGGGAGCACGAUGCGCUCGCAUGCUGCACCCACUGUUACCGUGUAACUCGUCGGGCUGAUGAACACGCAGCCACCGUAGAGAUGAAAUCUAGAAAUGGCAACAAUAAUGGAUCCACCGACUGUGCCGCCCACCAUAUAUGUGCAGCAAGAACAGCCUGUUGCAAGGUCCCAUGACUGCGACCCAUCCCCCGCAGAGUUAAUACCUUUCGUGCACUCACUACUGCUGCUAUUUGAUUAAGCUCGGUGCUACUUUACUCUGAUGGAAGAAGAGGAACUGCGAGACAGGUUGUCGUGGGGUAGGGUUUGGUGGUGCAUGGAGCAAUGUGAGACUGAGCUCGGAGAUGGAAUCAAUCUUCUGGUACCACCGGUGAAUCAGCCCCAGAGGCAUCUUUGCGUUGGCCGGCUCCACCGUCACAUGAUGGCUUGUCGAUCCAUCGUUGUAGUCUUUCGGCACGCCUACUGUUGGCUCAUAUGUUCCCGUAUGGCCUCGUGGCUCCACGAUAAGGCUGGCUUGUAGUUACUCUUCCUUCAGCUGGCGCGCGGAACAACUCCUUCGAACGCGAUUCCUGGAUUUUGCCGGUGGUGGCGGUGAGAGGACUGUCUCUUCUUCGUCGUCGUCACGCAAUGCAAAGCGCCAUUCUUGCUACGGGUGGGACGGGGACUCGCAACGAGGAGUCGCCAUCCAUCGUGCACUGUUCUUACUACGCGUAAAACUAGCUGUAGAAUGAACCCAAGGUCUGGGAGUAAAUCGAGAUGGUGUUUCGACUCAAAAGCAUUAAUCGCCAGAGAACACCAACGACCAUAAUUGUAGCUUGUAGAUAAGGUCUAUUAUGAUCACCUUGGCCUGGCUCUGUAGUCCGGAAUAUUGUUGUAAUGAUGAGAAGAUCCGUACUACGUUUCUGUAAA